rnacentral:rRNA from 1 species
AGAGUUUGAUCAUGGCUCAGAACGAACGCUGGCGGCAGGCCUAACACAUGCAAGUCGAGCGCCCCCGCAAGGGGGAGCGGCGGACGGGUGAGUAACGCGUGGGAAUUUUCCUCAAGGUACGGAACAACUCAGGGAAACUUGGGCUAAUACCGUAUGAUGCAGAGAUGCCAAAGAUUUAUCGCCUUGGGAUAAGCCCGCGUCAGAUUAGGUAGUUGGUGGGGUAACGGCCUACCAAGCCUGCGAUCUGUAGCUGGUCUGAGAGGACGAUCAGCCACAUUGGGACUGAGACACGGCCCAAACUCCUACGGGAGGCAGCAGUGGGGAAUCUUGCGCAAUGGGCGAAAGCCUGACGCAGCCAUGCCGCGUGAAUGAUGAAGGUCUUAGGAUUGUAAAGUUCUUUUGCCCGUGACGAUGAUGACGGUAACGGGAGAAUAAGCCCCGGCUAACUUCGUGCCAGCAGCCGCGGUUAAUACGAAGGGGGCUAGCGUUGUUCGGAAUUACUGGGCGUAAAGCGCGCGUAGGCGGUUUUGCAAGCCAGAGGUGAAAUGCCUGA